UAAGGAAUAUUGGACAAUGGACGCAAGUCUGAUCCAGCCAUGCCGCGUGAAGGAUGAAUGCCCUCUGGGUUGUAAACUUCUUUUACAGGGGAAGAAAGUUAUCUUUUUCAGGAUAUUUGACGGUACCCUAUGAAUAAGCACCGGCUAACUCCGUGCCAGCAGCCGCGGUAAUACGGAGGGUGCAAGCGUUAUCCGGAUUCACUGGGUUUAAAGGGUGCGUAGGCGGGUAUGUAAGUCAGUGGUGAAAUACCGGAGCUUAACUUCGGAACUGCCAUUGAUACUAUAUAUCUUGAAUAUUGUGGAGGUAAGCGGAAUAUGUCAUGUAGCGGUGAAAUGCUUAGAGAUGACAUAGAACACCGAUUGCGAAGGCAGCUUGCUACGCAAAUAUUGACGCUGAGGCACGAAAGCGUGGGGAUCAAACAGGAUUAGAUACCCUGGUAGUCCACGCCCUAAACGAUGAUUACUCGACAUUAGCGAUACACAGUUAGUGUCUGAGCGAAAGCAUUAAGUAAUCCACCUGGGAAGUACGACCGCAAGGUUG
rnacentral:rRNA from 1 species